GACAAAUUGAUUUUUAACGACAUACGAUUCCAUCAGCAAUAACAUCAACGACAUACGAUUCCAUCAGCAACAACAUCAUUGACAACAGCCGUACAGUGCAACUUCAACAACAGCUCCAAACAACAACAAAGCCAACCUACCCGACUCUUCGACAACUCCAAACCGACCCAGUCGAACCCGAAUUCGUGUCCAACCCGCGAAAUCGUCCACAACAACUUUGGAGAAAUUUCCAGAAGCUGGACAGUUCAUACACCAACGGUAAUGGUACGAUUUCGUACAAUCCCACCUCACAAUCUUAACACCAUUUCAAAAUUCAAAAAUCCGUGUUAAUGAUACCAAAUUUGCCCCUUUGAUGGUCUGAUCCCACAUCGGUAGAACCAUUUUUCGGAGCCCUAAAAAUCUUCUAUAAAAAUACCUUCUUAAGCUGAAAACCCCAAGUCUUGGAGGGAAAAAAAAGCUUCAGAUCAUACAUAAUAAUUUUUCUAAUAAAUUUUUUUUGUGAAAAACCGACGAUUACUCGAACUUUUCGGAGUCGCAGAGGUUUUCCGGUGGUAGCGAGGAGGUUUCGACGACAGUUCGUAGUUUCAUUUUGUUGCUUCGAAGAGGUAUUUGUUUUCCAUACAACUCGCCUUUGGGAAACGUUGCUGCAUAGCUUUUAUCACAAUCACCUAAAGGUUGUACGACUGUUAAAGGAGUGGCUCCCUCUGAAAAUUCAUCUUCGGUAGGUGAUUUGGCAACCGAAGCAUUCUGUUAGCAUCUAAAUUGGAGUUUUCAACAUGCUCAUCCUGCUUUAAAUUACUCUUCCUAAACAAACGACAAAGCACAAAGGCACCCUGCAACAGGCAAAUCAUAUUUCCCAGUAUGAACCGAAUUUUCAUUGCUUCACGACAAAUGACAAUAGAAAUAUAAUUGUGUUCCUGAUUCAAAUUCAAAAGUAAGGUGUAGGCACAAAGUUCUUCAAUUUAUUUUAAAUAGGUAGAUGAUUUGAAUCCAGACCCCACUAUGUGGGAAUAUAUUGGGUAUGUUGUUGUCAUAGGUAGAUGCUUCAGAUAGAACUCAGUAAUUGGGACAUCUAAAGAACUAAUAUAUUCGGAAUUAAUUGUAAGGGCACUUUUAAUGUAGUUCAGUAGUACACUGCCGCUAAGUGUAGGGCACUUCGCUAGUCUAUUCCAAUUAGGAAUGAGCUAAAAGAACAAAUAAACUUCAUAGAGAAGGAGUUAUCUAUACAACAUCUUCUAAAGAAGAAAGCUAGAAAAUGAAAUGCUAUAGCCAUAAAAGUUGCAAAUAUGUGCAUUUUUUUAUCACUCGUGAAAAGCAGACAGGAACCAAAUAAGAUUGGAAAUAACUGUAUAUGUUCAAGUAACCCAUUAAUGAAUAUACAACAUAUUGCAUUGGCAUGAUUGACUUGAGCUACACAUCUUAUGUAUAUAUUACAUCCUAGACACUGAUCAAUGUGACCAAUAAUUGCACAAUGAUGCAAUCAAUCUUUUAUACAGAAAAUAGAAAUAGAAAUUCAAGACAUAAGAUGAAUGAAGGAUGUGCAAACGUGGCCAGUGUGUGAUCCAUCCAAUGACUUUUCAGUUGCACGAUAUUCAUGAAUCACCCUAUGAGUCCUCUUUCCUUCAGGAGCUCGACCAAUGAAGUAUACCAAGAUUUUCUCCAUGCUAAUUUUUGCUCCCUUUUUAGUUGUUAUGUUUCUAUCUUUACCAGUAGCUUUCCAGUAGCCUCGUUCUGUUGCUCGGUUCAAUCGUUGCCCGUUUUGGUACUUACGAUCCUUUGGGCAGAAGAAGAACCACUCGUUGUCAUUGGACUCUACCACAGACAUAUCUACAACCAUUCAAUCCAUAGGCCACUCUCGUGUCUUUGUGUCAAAUUUGUGGUCUUAUAAUAUUUUGCUUGAAAAGCAUAUAGGUCCAUUUUCAACUAUCAAUUUAAUGGAUUUGUCAUAUUUGGUCUAUGUUGUUCCUAAGAUAAGUAUGAGUUCUUUGGUGUCCGUGUGAAGAAUCAUUGAUGCACAGGGCUACUGUGCUGAGUUAAUGUAUGUCCUGGAACCAACCAAGAAGGCUGCAACUGUCAAGUUAAUUGACGACUGAUUAAUGAUGUUGUUUCUAUGUACGGAUACUAUUACUAUCAUUUUUCAUGGCUGGCAAGUUAAUUGAAAACUGAAUAAUGAUCUGUUUCUAUGUUGAUAUGGCAAAGAAAAUAUAUAAGCAGGAUACAAAAAUGCAUGUUUGUGAUGAAAAAAAGAUGAAUAUCCAUUACAAAAAGGUAUGUUAUUACUUUAUAGCAACAUUGUUAUACUUUUUGAAAAGUUUAGAUUUAAACACCUACAAAUGCAACAUAUAAUUACCUCAAAAAGCUCAUCACCUCUCUUGUUUUGUGCACCUUCAAAUAGAGAAUCCUAAUGAAAUUCAAACAGAGAAUCCUAAUGAAAUACUGUAAUGUCAUUAAAAUAAAAUUUAUAAUUUUUAUAGAACGUGAGAUUUAUAUUUCUUUAUACAAAGUAGCACUUACAGUGUAUUUUAGUGAAGGAUGACAGUACUCCUUGAAAAGAGCUUCAUCAUCAACAAAUUUUAGAACUUUGUAGACUUCAUCCUGCUUAUAUAUAUUAGAUUUCUUCACCAUGACCUUAAACAUGUUUUUUUUUUCAAUGAUAUCAUCCAGUUCACUUGGAUACGAACAUUCAUCAUCAUCAAUUAAGUCCUCUUUUAGCUCUUUUGCAGUUUUCCCCAUAAGUUGCACAGCCUCACGGUUCCAAAGUAAUAGGAUUAUAAGACCAGUUCCAUCCAUUACACGAACUUGUAGCCUAUACCUCAAAUUCAUUCUUUAUCAUGUUAACAAAUUAAAGUUUUUUCUUGAUAAAAAUUCAUGUAGGAUUGUGAUAACCUGUGAACAACUUUUGCUUCUGAAUUGCAUUUUGGACAAAAAAAUGAGUUUCCAUCUUGUUCAACCUUUAUACACUUGUUGCAAUCCAAGUAUGACCAUCUAUGUUCAAGAUCCAAACAAACAAUUUUUGCAGCAAUCCAAUAGCUAGCUUCAUGUUUGAUAGAGAAAAUAUUAUUAUAAUAUUUAAACACAUUGUGUUAAGUUUAUCAGGAAUGAAAAAAUUUAUUCAACUCACUUCUGUGCAUAGAAUCAAAUCAUUGAUAAUAUUUAAAAGGUACAAUUCCUUUGACCAACUCAUCCGUGAUAGAAUAACAUUGUUGAGAACUUGUUUGGCUAAGCCGCUCAUAGUUAGAAUCACAUGCUGCAUUUAAUCUGAAUGAAAAAUAGUAUAAUAUUAUACAUUAAUAUAUAUUCUAAAUUUUAAUAUUAAAUUUAAUUGAUAAAUGUGUUAAAAUAAUAGUUGGAUGUGAUAAACCUGGAUUUAAAAGCAAUAGAUUACGGCAGAGAUGAAUUUAUCCAUAGCUUAGUUUGAUACCAACAAUUACGAAUAGAGUAGACAUCUGUUUGAAAUAAUAUUUAGAAUCUGAAAAUAAAAAUAAUUUUUGAAUAAAUCUGUUAUGUAUUAUAGUUUGAAAUAUUCGUACCUCUGUAUUUUUGAGCCUUCAUAAAUUGAAGAACCACAAUCAAAGGUUCAUCUGUGGAUGCACUCAAAUAAGAUUGAAUUUGAUCUACAAGUUCACCCCAUAAAGUUAUUGAAAGUCCAUUCCUCCUGUAAGAAUAAAGAUUUCAUUGAAUGAUUUACAUUACUAUUUUCAAUCUACAAUAUAUGUGUAUUUAAUGUUGCAGCUUUAACAUAAAGUAUAAUAAAUUUAUAUAUUGCACAUUAGUUAAAGCAAUUAGUUAGAAAAGUCUCUUUUUUAGACUGAAAUUAUAUUUUGAUUAAGGCUUAGAUGGAGUUGUAAAGAUCUUCACUGAUGUUGUAUGUGCAUUUUUCUUAAUGACUCUUUGUUCUCUAAUUCUUUUUUCAUCUGUAAUCAACGAUCAGUGAAUAUGACAGGGCCAAUUGUAAUGUAAAAAAGAAAUCUAAUCAACAAUCAGUGGAUGUGGUAGUGCCACAAAUUAUAAUGUGAAAAAGAAAAUAAGGCAUACUUAUCAUCUUCUAGCACAAUAUUUAUAAAUACACUAUUACUGUCUCCUUGCUUGAAUGUUUGAACAGCUUCAUAUGGCACAACUUGACCAAUAUCUAUAAAUAUAGAUGGAUUAGUAAAAAUAAAAAGCACAGAUUAUUGAUAAAUUUUAAACGGACUAUGAAGAGAAUCAUUACCAAAAAGUUUUGUGUCAUCGACAAUAUGGUGAAUUGUCAGUCGGUCAAAUGGAUGUAAAUUAAAUAUGUCCAUAUGAAAUGAAGGAUCAGUAAUUUUCUCGACAAAAGUCGUUUUUAUGAAAAUCAACUUGUGCUUGUGCAUUGUAGUCUUAAAUUUCUUGGAAUUUGAUGUAACAACAAAGUCGUUAAUGUGAUAUAACCCAAGUUCGUCCAUCUUGUUCUUGAAAAACUUAAUAUCAUACUUGCCAAUUGAAGCAUGUAUGCGAUCGCCCUAAUUUGAGACGGAGAAGUUAGUAGUGUUCAAUGCAAUUACAACGUUAAAAAUUAAAAAAAAGGAAGAUUAUAAAUGUAAACACUGUAAAAUAUGAAAAAUUAGUAAAAAGCAAGUAGUACCUUAGAAUCCCGUAAAAUCAUAUCUAAUGAAUAUGGUAUAUCUGGUUUGAAUUUAUCCUGCAAUUGUCAAAGGUGAAUAAUUCUUACUCUCAAACUCCAUUGCAUAGAACUGCUUGUAAUUUGUGAGAUACUAUGAAAAACCAUAUAUGAUUACUACGUAGAUUGCAGAAUGUCAGAAAUCUAAUCUAAGGACAUAUAUAAACUGCGAAAAAUGUAGAACGUUGUAAGGAUUAUAUAAGAAUAAGAAAAUGAGUGGUAAAGAAAGACAAUUAUCAGAAAAAGGAAUUUAGCUGGUGGUUUUAAAACCAAUUCCUUCAAACUAUCCCUAAUUAAAAGGAUAUACACGUUUCUGUUUAAAUUUCUUAUUUUUUACUUUUUAUUAUUUUAGAUUUUAAUAAUUAAAAUAAACGAACUUGUUAGAUGGCAUGUGUAUAUCUCAUUUUCUUUUUAGCAUUUGUUAUUGUUUAAAAUUUUCCUAAUUUAUUAUUAUUUUUUUU